rnacentral:lncRNA from 1 species
ACUGACUGUGUAUGAAGCCUCUACCGAUACUAACUAUAAGUAGCUAGGACAUGACCCUAGCUAUCCCUGAUCAAUACAACUGAAUAAAAUUGAUACUAGAACUAUAGUUGACUUGAGUUUCCAAAUCAAGAGAACUCAUCACCUACUAUUUGGAAGAUGCCAACUGUUUGAUUAUGGUGUGUGGGCUAUAACUAGUACCUACAUUAUGAAACAAUGUAUCCACACAGACGUAUAUGUGGUUAGUACAUCUAGAAUGUACUGAGUAUGUGGGAUUAAAUGCUAUAAGUAAAGCUAAAGUUGAACAUACUUUCAAAUCAGUCAUGAUAAGUGCAAAAGGACUCACCAUGGUUGUGAAUAAAAAUGAAAGCUGAAAUAUCAUGAAACAUGAAUAAUAAAGCAUAAUUUGAUAAGCUUAGUGAGUCAUUACAUUUAGUUUCCAAAAUCUAUACUUUUAUGGGAGAUUUUUAUAGCCGACAUAAAUCAUGUGAGUAAUCAUGGAGUCCAAUAUCUUACCCAUAUUAAGGAGAGAUAUUCUACCCUUCCAUCAGAAUAGAACCUUAGCUUAGAGUAAUAGCUGAACUUAUCCCAUCAGGGGCAAGGAGACACCCUCGGAUGAGGUCCCCAUAAACCUACAAUGGGACGUAGUUUUUGGAGAAUAGGAUGCACUAAGCCAACAUUGCCGUCUUGGUGUUAAAUAUUGCUCCCAAAACAUAUACUUAUAUGAUCAUACUUAUAAAAUCCACCUUAAAAUAGUAUAUGGGUUUAGAAAUUGAAAACUAACUAUGUUUCACUUGUUUAAAUCGUACUCAUAAAUGAACUUAUGGAUUUUAUGUCUUAUUUGAGAUCAUAAGAAAAAAAAUUAAACUUUAAUCAUGUUGUAAUAUUUGACACUUGAAUUGAUAAACUUCAACUUCUUGUAAUCUCAGUAACUUAUGAUUAUAAAUGAAAUCAUUUAUCAUCUCAUAAAAGCUUCAUAUAAAAAUAUCAAACUGAAUAGCUAAGAUCACUUUCAUGGAUAAAAUAAUUAGUAAACACGAAAUCAUAUGCAAAAUAAUGUUCAAUCAAUGAGAAGAAUCAAAAUCUCAAUGCAUAAUAAAAGUGGGUAUAAACCCUAGUAAGCCAAUUUAUUAAACAACAAUUAAAAAUCAAAAUUUUGGGCACAAGGAUAGAAGAAUAUCCUUGUUCAAACCCCACAUACCUAAAUUUAGUGAAUCUCUUGAAAAAAAUAUGAAUUGGAGAUAUGGGAUUUGAUCUUUUGGAAGAAACCCUAACUUCUUUUAUCUUAAGAGUGGAGAGGAGAAUGAGUG